rnacentral:rRNA from 1 species
GGAUGAACGCUGGCGGCGUGCCUCAAACAUGCAAGUCGAGCGAGGCUAUGAGUUACCGCAAGGUAAGGCAUAGCCUAGCGGCGAACGGGUGAGUAACACGUGGGUAACCUACCUGGAAGACAGGGAUAACGAUUCGAAAGGGUCGCUAAUACCUGAUAAUAUCCGUCUGCCGGAUGGCGGAGGGAAGAAAGGGGAAACCCGCUUUCAGAUGGGCCCGCGUCCCAUCAGCUAGUUGGUAAGGUAAAGGCUUACCAAGGCGACGACGGGUAGCCGGUCUGAGAGGAUGUACGGCCACACUGGGACUGAGAUACGGCCCAGACUCCUACGGGAGGCAGCAGUUGGGAAUCUUAGGCAAUGGACGAAAGUCUGACCUAGCGACGCCGCGUGAGGGAAGAAGGCCUUCGGGUUGUAAACCUCUGUCAUGGGGGAAGAAGGAAGUGACGGUACCCCAAGAGGAAGCCCCUGCUAACUACGUGCCAGCAGCCGCGGUAAUACGUAGGGGGCUAGCGUUAUCCGGAAUUAUUGGGCGUAAAGGGCGAGUAGGCGGUUUGUUAAGUCAGGUGUGAAAUUUCAGGGCUCAACCCUGAAACUGCGCUUGAAACUGGCAGGCUAGAGGACGGUAGAGGGGAGUGGAAUUCCCGGUGUAGCGGUAAAAUGCGUAGAUAUCGGGAGGAACACCGGUGGCGAAGGCGGCUCUCUGGGCCGAUCCUGACGCUGAGGCGCGAAAGCUAGGGGAGCGAACCGGAUUAGAUACCCGGGUAGUCCUAGCCGUAAACGAUGGGUGCUAGGUGUUGGGGGGUAAAGACCCUUCAGUGCCGAAGCAAACGCGAUAAGCAUCCCACCUGGGGAGUACGGCCGCAAGGUUGAAACUCAAAGGAAUUGGCGGGGGUCCGCACAAGCGGCGGAGCAUGUGGUUUAAUUCGAUGCUGCCCGAAGAACCUUACCAGGGUUUGACAUGCUGGUAGUAGGAACCCGAAAGGGGGACGACCCAACCGUAAGGGAGGGAGCCAGCACAGGUGUUGCAUGGCUGUCGUCAGCUCGUGCCGUGAGGUGUCGGCUUAAGUGCCGUAACGAGCGCAACCCUCAUCCCUAAUUGCUCCUGGCAGAUAAAAGGGUCAGAGCACAAUAGGGAGACCGCUGGCGAAGAGCCAGAGGAAGGGGAGGAUGACGUCAAGUCAGCAUGGCCUUUAUGCCCUGGGCUACACACAUGCUACAAUGCAGGGUACAAUGGGAAGCGAAGCCGCGAGGUGGAGCAAAUCCCGAAAAGCCCUGCUCAGUUCGGAUCGCACGCUGCAAUUCGCGUGCGUGAAGUCGGAGUCGCUAGUAACCGUGGAUCAGCAAAGCCGCGGUGAAUACGUUCUCGGGCCU